rnacentral:rRNA from 1 species
GAUGAACGCUGGCGGCGUGCUUAACACAUGCAAGUCGAACGGAAAGGCCAGUGCUUGCACUGGUACUCGAGUGGCGAACGGGUGAGUAACACGUGGGUGAUCUGCCCUGUACUUCGGGAUAAGCUUGGGAAACUGGGUCUAAUACCGGAUAGGACAACUUGUUGGAUAUUGUUGUGGAAAGCUUUUGCGGUAUGGGAUGAGCUCGCGGCCUAUCAGCUUGUUGGUGGGGUAAUGGCCUACCAAGGCGUCGACGGGUAGCCGGCCUGAGAGGGUGUACGGCCACAUUGGGGCAGAGAUACGGCCCAGACUCCUACGGGAGGCAGAAGUGGGGAAUAUUGCACAAUGGGCGCAAGCCUGAUGCAGCGAAGCCGCGUGGGGGAUGAAGGCCUUCGGGUUGUAAACUCCUCUCGCUAGGGACGAAGCUUUUUUGUGACGGUACCUGGAGAAGAAGCACCGGCUAACUACGUG